rnacentral:rRNA from 1 species
UUCCGGUUGAUCCCGCCGGACCUGACUGCUAUCGGAUUGAUACUAAGCCAUGCGAGUCUUUGUAGCAAUACAAGGCGGACUGCUCAGUAACACGUAGUCAAUCUACCCUAUGGAUGGGGAUAACCUCGGGAAACUGAGAAUAAUACCCAAUAGAUCAUAAUGCCUGGAAUGGUUUAUGGUUCAAAUGAUUUAUCGCCGUAGGAUGGGACUGCGGUCUAUCAGCUUGUUGGUGAGGUAAUGGCCCACCAAGGCUAUAACAGAUACGGGCUCUGAGAGGAGACGCCCGGAGAUGGGUACUGAGACACGGACCCAGGCCCUAUGGGGCGCAGCAGGCGAGAAAACUUUGCAAUGUGCGAAAGCACGACAAGGUUAAUCCGAGUGUUUUCUGCUAAAGAAAUCUUUUGUCAGUCAUAAAACCACUAACGAAUAAGGGGUGGGCAAGUUCUGGUGUCAGCCGCCGCGGUAAAACCAGCACCUCAAGUGGUCAGGAGGAUUAUUGGGCCUAAAGCAUCCGUAGCUUGCUGCAUAAGUUUUCGGUUAAAUCCAUACGCUCAACGUAUGGGCUGCCGGGAAUACUGUGCAGCUAGGGAGUGGGAGAGGUAGACGGUACUCGGUAGGAAGGGGUAAAAUCCUUUGAUCUAUUGAUGACCACCUGUGGCGAAGGCGGUCUACCGGAACACGUCCGACAGUGAGGGAUGAAAGCUGGGGGAGCAAACCGGAUUAGAUACCCGGGUAGUCCCAGCUGUAAACUAUGCAAACUAAGUGAUGCGUUGGCUUGUGGCCAGCGCAGUGCCUCAGGGAAGCCGUUAAGUUUGCCGCCUGGGAAGUACGUACGCAAGUAUGAAACUUAAAGGAAUUGGCGGGGGAGCACCACAAGGGGUGAAGCCUGCGGUUCAAUUGGAGUCAACGCCGGGA